rnacentral:rRNA from 1 species
GACGAACGCUGGCGGCGUGCUUAACACAUGCAAGUCGAACGGAAAGGCCCUGCUUUUGUGGGGUGCUCGAGUGGCGAACGGGUGAGUAACACGUGAGUAACCUGCCCUUGACUUUGGGAUAACUUCAGGAAACUGGGGCUAAUACCGGAUAGGAUCUCCUGCUGCAUGGUGGGGGUUGGAAAGUUUCGGCGGUUGGGGAUGGACUCGCGGCUUAUCAGCUUGUUGGUGGGGUAGUGGCUUACCAAGGCUUUGACGGGUAGCCGGCCUGAGAGGGUGACCGGCCACAAUGGGACUGAGAUACGGCCCAGACUCCUACGGGAGGCAGCAGUGGGGAAUAUUGCAGAAUGGGCGGAAGCCUGAUGCAGCAACGCCGCGUGCGGGAUGACGGCCUUCGGGUUGUAAACAGCUGUCGCCUGUGACGAAGCGUGAGUGACGGUAAUGGGUAAAGAAGCACCGGCUAACUACGUG